AGAGAUCAAGGAACUGAAGAUGAUACAAGGAUACAUUUUGAGGACAGCUGGAGAAGCACAUAAUGAGUUACAUUAAUAACUGAAGAUGAAGAAUGAUGGGCAUUCUUAAAGGAGGAGACAAUAAUGAUUUGAGACCAAAUGAAAACAUAAUUUAAGAGGAAACCCAAAAAUCAAGAAAAACAUUAGUGAUUGAAGAACACAUGAAAUAACAUUACUCAGCAGAGAACUAGAAGAUACUGGGAUUAAAAAAUGGAUCUGGAACCCCUGUGAACAAUGAUUUUGGACUUUCUGAAAGAGCUUC
rnacentral:lncRNA from 1 species